rnacentral:lncRNA from 10 species
GGCUACUCACCUCCCAGCUAUGAAACCAUGUGACCUGCGUGCUCCCUGCCUUCACCUGCCGCCAUGAUUGGAAGCUUUCUGAGGCCGCCUUAGAAGCCAAGUAGAUGCCAACAUCAAGCCUCUAAUACAGCCUGCAGAACCGCUUGCCCUCUCUCACCUGCUGCCAUGUAAGAUGUGCCUGCUUCACCUUCCGCCAUGAUUGUCAGUUUCCUGAGGCCUCCCCAGCCAUGUGGAACUCUCUGUCUUUUCCAGAAUAUCAUAUAAAUGGAAUCACACGAUAGGCAGCCUUUUGAGUCUGGCUUCUUUGACUGAACAGAAUGCAUUCAAGGAUGUGAGAAGAAGAAAGGAGGGGGGAGAGGAGGAGAAAAGGACGUGCAUCAUCUGAAAAUGAAGGGUGUUCUUUAAAGCAGCAAAGUUAGCUCAACAAAACUUAUUGUGCUUUAUCAUGGGGAACUGACAUAGCAGAAAGUGGAACCAACGGUAAGGGGGGACUACUGUAACUAUGGAGGAAUAAGGACAAGAAUUACAGCAGACGUCUCAACAGAAACCAUGCAAGCCAGAGACAACGGAGUGAGAUUUUUAAAGUGUUGAAAGAAAAAAACUGUCAAAACAGAUUUCUACAUCCAGGAGAAAUAUCUUUCAAAUGUGAAAAACAAAUAAAUACUUUUGUGUACCAACAUAAACUGAGGAAGUUCAGUAAUAUUUCCUACUUUACUGGAAAUAUUAAAGGUAGUUCUUCAAACAAAGAAUUUGUUUGGAACUUAGAUCUGCAUACAGGACAUAAAUGAAGGGAAAUAUGCUUUAUCAUAUUUCUCGCUGUAAAAUAUACUUUAUCAUAUUUUCUUGCUAUAACAAGUAACUUGACUGUUUAAAGUAAUAAUAACCAUAUAUUAUAUGGUUAUGGUGUAUGUAAGAGUAAGAUGAGUUACAAUGAUAGUGC